GCGGACGUCGAUGGGUUUGUGGGCGCAGGGCGCGAGGCGCGAGGCGGUAGCUGGGCUAGUCCUGUUCCCUGGCGUCUGGGCCUUUCUGCUCUCCGCAAGGAGCUGGGUCGCGACCUGUCACUGCCAGCCGUGCGCUCGCCCUCUGCGCCCCGUCUCGUGGUCACUGCCGCCCUCCCUCCCGCCACACCUGUGAUGAUCGCUAUGGAGCCGCGCCUCAGGUGGCAUUACUAUAAACCUAAGAGGAGAGGCGCCCGUUCGAAUAAGGGCAAAUUAUUUAGUAUUUUGUAAGUUCCAAAGUUCCAACAUUCUUGAAAGGGAAAAGCCAUUUACUGUAUUUGAUAGGCUGGCGCCACUGGCCAGAUGAAAGUGCAAAUGUGCGUACUGAGAUCUUACAACCCUUCUCUGUGUCUUUGGGGAUUGGAGAACCUCUAGAGCAAUUUAGGAAUAGAAGAUUUUGUUUAUUCCGCUUGUUUUGAUAUUUUUUAACAGUUUAAUUAUUACCGCAACCCCGAGGGUCCUUUUAAAGGAAUUUCUGUAAACGUUGGGUAAUUACAGCGUACAAUUGCUAUUGGGGCAUGGCCUCCCAUUUUACAAAUAUUUGAGCGUUUGGUGUUUUCUCGUCUAGAGUCGACUGUUACAUAUUCUCUUCUUUUUCUUACCUUCUUUCUUCAUUCUCCUUUGUCCUUUUGGAAUGCUUGAGAGUUACAAAGCCUCAAAGUCUAAGGCAUAGGGCAGAAAUCCAAGUAGAACCACUCAUGAAAUUAUUUGGUCUCACCUAUGUUUUUAUUUCUGGUUUUCCCUUUUACCAUAAUCUAGCAUGUAAUUUAUGCAUCAGUAGUUAAUUUCCCCACUUGGAGUCUUUUCCCAUCUCAGACAAAAAUAAAAUAAAAAUCCUCCAAUCCUUUGACCUGGGUGAUUUGUCUCACCCAGCACAAUCUAUUAUAGAAUUGACAAUAGUCCCUAGUGCCUUUCCUAGCAAAUCUAAACUCCAUCCAAAAUCAGAUCUUCCCUCAAUCCUAAAUGUUUUUACUAGGGAGCCCCCACCUCAAGUAAGCCAAUAUGCUUUCUGCAGGGCAACAUUCCAUCCGGCUCUGCUUCCCAAGCCACUUUAUAUAUGGUCCUACCCUCUUAACAGGCCAGUUGUGCCUAGCCAAACCAGCACAAAUCAGUCUCCAUGAGGAAUUCUUUCCAAACUUAACCCAAUCCCAUUCAGAUAAUGUUUGCUUUCCAUUGUUUGUGUGUCUGUUUAAGAUACAUUGGCCCCUGUCCAUAGGCUCCCUAUACUGGACGCAUGAGACAAAUUAGUAUUAUCUAACCCAGGAGUUUCCAAUAAACUGGUCAAGACAUAAUUAGUUGAAGCUAGUUACUGAUGGUGACACCUGAAAACUCACCUCUCUUUAUCUUUCCCUUCUUGCA
rnacentral:lncRNA from 1 species